AUUACAGCUCGCUCUGCUAACCGGUAGGCGAAUUAUUCGCAGCAGGGAUAAAAAAAAUAGACACGUAGUGAGUGAUAAGCUCCAGCAGAAGGCAGCAGUGCACCAUAAUGGAAGUCAACUGGCCUAAAAUACAAAGACAGCCGACCAAAUCCGCCAGGUGCUGUUGACCACAGCCACUCACUGACUGGCUCCUCUGUACCAGCCAUCAGAAGGUUCUCUAAAAUGGAUCAAAAGGGAGACGGACCUCACAAUGGUAGAAAUCGGCCAUGUUGGUACAUUUUACCCCGAGGAGAUUUGCCGCCGGCUAAUCAGUUGACCAAUCGGCACAUUGCUAUUCUGGACAACUUUGCACAAUUGGGAAGGAACGAAGAGGACAUUCGGGACAUUAUGAUGACUUUGCAAUCGGCACACCAGCAAAGGAUGCAUGUUCUACGACAAAUCCGCGACCUUCAGGAAAUGCGAAGGCGAGGCUACGACAACCCCUUAAGAGACAUGGAUUCAGUCAUGUAGAGGCUGAGGAAGGACCUCCCGCACGCUGUACGUUUGUUCAAAUGUUAGACGAUAGAUUGCUCCCAAAUUAUUUAGCCUUGUGAGCAUACAGUUACCACCUAAGGGCAUUUAACAAGGUGUGUCAAACGAUCUGAGGUACUGCGUUUACCUGAUGAAUGACAGAGUGAUGGUUUAAAAGCCCACGGCUGCUCUGCUAAAACUCCUCGUUAACUGUGGUUAGUUGUUAUCAAAUAGAAGAGUGGUCACGUGUGUGCGCACAACACGUAUGCCGCAAGAAAGACAGUCAGAGUCGAGGGAAACUGACGCAGAUCGAUACGAGGCUUUGUGUUAACGUGACAGCUAUACAUACCAAUGGACCAAAGUGACUAGAAAUAAAGUGAAUUACUACUGGUUCUGAGAGUCAAGAGGUAGCUUUUGUUACAUCAUGAAACAAAUCUUUAAACUAAUAGUUUCAUCUAGGGGUGCAUGGCCGAUCGAUAGCCGCCGAUUUCCUUAAUUGUGCGGGAUCUGCGAUCGGGAGAUUGUUUCAUAAUUACUUGUGACGAGAAUAAAAUAUCCUGGCUGCAGAUAUUUGUGUAUGAACUGAAAAAAAUCGGAAUCUGCAAAAAUCGGUAUUGGCAAGUCACAACAGCCACAAAAUCAGAAUCAGUCCAAAAAAUGCAAUUAGUGCAUCCUUUAGUCGUAUCCAAUAAAAAUAAGCAUCGGCCCAUAAUGUUUUAUCACAACAACUGUUGAUUAUUGAUACACCGUCAAGAAUAAUAAAAAAUUCUAACAGUUGAUAAUGUAACCAAGUUGAUGACUUGAUCAAUAAAUGAAGCAACGUUCUGCAGACAGCUACUACGGCAGUGGUUCUAAACCUGGGUUCGAUGGAACCCCAGGAGUUCGGUGAGUCAGUCUCAGGGGUUCGGUGGAACAAGACACACACCCAACUCAUAUGAUUCGUGAUGACACGCCCCCCACUUGGCCAUCACCAAGGAUUCAGUGAAUGCGCAUAUGAAACUGGUGAGGUUCAGUACCUCCACCAUUUAAGAACCACUGUACUAGGGCCUAAUGCCACAUGUCUACAGCCCAACAUAAAGACCCUGUCAGAGCGGGACCAAUCCACCACCCAACCCAAAAUUUCAAGAAGGGUAAAAACGUCUUUUGAAAAUAACAAAUUUCUAAGUCAUUUAAAAUGUCACCACGAUAACAAGGCAGCACCGGGUGAGAAUGAAGCAGCAACAGCAGCAGUAACAGAACAACACCAUCUCCACCACCUCUAAUGACAUUAAACACGUUAGCUCCAGUGUAAUUUGCCUUCUAAUGGUCGUCUGACUCUGUCAGAUAUAUUACAAUGAAGUAUUUAACCAGAAAUUACCUGAACAAUUUGAAUAUCCCUGUGUUUAGCCUGACUUUCUGUGUCUUUCAUUAGUUAAUACGUGAGAUCGUCUGUGACAGAACCGUCCGGUGAUCAGCGCCGCUACACUGUGAACAAAUGAACAAUCUCAGCUCAUCAGCGGCUCUGGUGCAAAAACACAGACAAUAUGGUGUUUGUGCAGAAGUGUGACAAGACAUCAUUGAAAGUUAUGUGCUCAGGUGACCCUAAAAUCUCAACCUCCCUCAGGUAACUUUUUUUUUAAACACUAAACACCCAGAACGAAGCAACUGACCCCAAUAAGAAUUAUAAGCCACAUUU